UACGUAGGGUGCAGGCGUUAAUCGGAAUUACUGGGCGUAAAGCGUGCGCAGGCGGUUUGCUAAGACAGGUGUGAAAUCCCCAGGCUUAACCUGGGAACUGCAUCCGAUACUGGAUGGCUUGAAUCCGGGAGAGGGAUGCAGAAUUCCAGGUGUAGCGGUGAAAUGCGUAGAUAUCUGGAGGAAUACCGGUGGCGAAGGCGGCAUCCUGGACCGGCAUUGACGCUGAGGCGCGAAAGCCAGGGGAGCAAACGGG
rnacentral:rRNA from 1 species